CUGAGUGCUCCCCGCAGGCUCGCUCACAGGUACUAACCAGUGUCCCCUUUGAGCUGACUGGCACAGCAUUUGUGUAGAGUAAGGCUAAUAAAAUAAGGAGGGAGGCAGGUUGAUGUGGAAGGUCUUAAAACUUGAGUGACUGUUCCCACUGUGCUGCCAACAAGUUGAAGGGGGAACCACAGCUGCUGCAACGUGAGGGUUUUGAGGGUGCAGCGUGGAUCACCAAGGGGCUGAGCACUGGUGGCCUGGUGCAAAAUUCUUGGGGUUUAGGUAUUUGCAACAAGUUGUUUUAUUCUACAACCCAGCCUACCUGCAGCACUUAAUGCUUAUCACAGAGGGGAAGGUGAACAGCAUAAAGGUCACUACGGAUAUCAAAAAUCAAUUUGGAAAGAUGGAUACUGUCAGAGAAUAAAGCAUGAAGUCAGU